CUAAGAACCAGAGUCAGUGGGGAGAGUCUUGUCCAGAAUGAAGUGGGCUCAAGGGUGAAGGAGGGAUUCAUAACUACCCAAAGCAGUUUCAGAGAAAUGCAGAAGCCAAAGAGGAUUCCACAGAAGCCUAAUAGACAACUAAAAAGAUGGAUACUUUUUGGGUACUUGGGUUAAGCACCAGUUGGCCUUGAAAAAAAGACUGGGAGUCACUGUAACAUUACUGCUCCAGAUUUCUAAGAGUUCUUCCCAAAGGAAUCAUGGCAAACAAUUCUCUAUUUCCAUCACAGUGGGAGACAGAGAUAUUCACACAGAAGAUGGUUAUAAACAAAGAGUUGGAAACUUUAUAAAUGGGAAAUAUUUCUCAGAUAUAGACUGAAUGAGAAAAUUGUCUUUACUCUGACCACAAUCCUUUUCAUUAAAACUUCAGAUUAAUAAAUA